GCGUACACGGUGGAUGCCCUGGCAGUCAGAGGCGAUGAAGGACGUGCUAAUCUGCGAAAAGCGCCGGCGAGGUGAUAUGAACCUUUGACCCGGCGAUGUCCGAAUGGGGAAACCCAGUGUGUUCCGACACACUAUCGUUAACUGAAUACAUAGGUUAACGAGGCGAACCGGGGGAACUGAAACAUCUAAGUACCCCGAGGAAAAGAAAUCAACCGAGAUUCCCCCAGUAGCGGCGAGCGAACGGGGAGCAGCCCAGAGUCUGAAUCAGCUUGUGUGUUAGUGGAAGCGUCUGGAAAGUCGCACGGUACAGGGUGACAGUCCCGUACACGAAAGCACACAGGUUGUGAACUCGAAGAGUAGGGCGGGACACGUGGUAUCCUGUCUGAAUAUGGGGGGACCAUCCUCCAAGGCUAAAUACUCCUGACUGACCGAUAGUGAACCAGUACCGUGAGGGAAAGGCGAAAAGAACCCCGGCGAGGGGAGUGAAAUAGAACCUGAAACCGUGUACGU
rnacentral:ncRNA from 1 species